rnacentral:piRNA from 6 species
UGGGCCCAUAACCCAGAGGUCGAUGGA